CCUACGGGAGGCAGCAGUAGGGAAUCUUUCACAAUGGGCGAAAGCCUGAUGGCGCAACGCCGCGUGCAGGAUGAAGGCCUUCGGGUUGUAAACUGCUUUUAUAAGCGAGAAAUAUGAUGGUAACUUAUGAAUAAGGAUCGGCUAACUACGUGCCAGCAGCCGCGGUCAUACGUAGGAUCCGAGCAUUAUCCGGAGUGACUGGGUGUAAAGAGUUGCGUAGGUGGCAUAAUAAGUAGCUAGUGAAAUCUGGUGGCUCAACCAUUCAGACUAUUAGCUAAACUGUUAAGCUCGAGACCGUUAGGGGUAACUGGAAUUUCUAGUGUAGGAGUGAAAUCCGUAGAUAUUAGAAGGAACACCAAUAGCGUAGGCAGGUUGCUGGGACGGUUCUGACACUAAGGCACGAAAGCGUAGGGAGCAAACGGGAUUAGAUACCCGAGUAGUC
rnacentral:rRNA from 1 species